GAUGAAGAACGUAGCGAAAUGCGAUAAGUAGUGUGAAUUGCAGAAUUCAGUGAAUCAUCGAAUCUUUGAACGCACAUUGCGCCCCUUGGUAUUCCAUGGGGCAUGCCUGUUCGAGCGUCAUUUGUACCUUCAAGCUUUGCUUGGUGUUGGGUGUUUGUCUCGCCUUUGCGUGUAGACUCGCCUUAAAAUAAUUGGCAGCCGGCGUAUUGAUUUCGGAGCGCAGUACAUCUCGCGCUUUGCACUCAUAACGACAGCGUCCAAAAGUACAUUUUACACUCUUGACCUCGGAUCAGGUAGGGAUACCCGCUGAACUUAAGCAUAUCAUAAGCGAGGA
rnacentral:misc_RNA from 1 species